rnacentral:lncRNA from 13 species
AUGAGUUCUGACUGUUGUACACACCCCUGUGACUCACUAAUGAGCUCUGACUGUUGUACACACCCAUGUGACUCACUAAUGAGUUCUGACUGUUGUACACACUCGUGUGACUCACUGAGUUCUGACUGUUGUACACACCCAUGUGACUCACUAAUGAGCUCUGACUGUUGUACACACCCAUGUGACUCACUAAUGAGCUCUGACUGUUGUACACACCCAUGUGAUUUGCUGAGCUCUGACUGUUGUAUACACCUGUGUGACUCACACGUGGAUGGAGUCAGGGAAGAGCACUACUAAACUCAUGGGUUUUCUCUGGCCAGGUCCCCAAGCAUUUGCUGUUGGGAUUUUAGCAACCUAAGUUAGCUCUGCCUGCUCCAGAACCUUGUACGGAAGGAAUCAUCCAGCGUGAGUCCCUUCGUUUUUGGCUUCUUUUGCUGAGCAUGACGUUCUGACAUUUGUCCGUCUUACAGAAAUUAUUAUUCCCUCCUUUAGAUGGUGAUUCUGCAAGCUCUUUUGUCUCCUGACCAACCGAUGGGCAUCUGGGUUAUUUCCAGCGUGUCACUGUUACGGAUGAACCUCCCUGAUUCUUUUUGUAUGGGACACUUUGUGGACUGUGUUUUCAUUUGUCUUGGAAGUGGGUGGAUACCUUGGGCUGGAGGGGCUGGGUCAUAGGUAGACAGACACUUCCUGUUCUCCGAGUGGCUGUGCACUGCGUAUGCGGCCAGUGGUGCGCGGGAGUCCCUGUCCGUCCACAUCCGCCAGCUCUGGGUGUUCUCCAUCUGGUUUGUUGUAGCCAUUUCAUAAGGUGUGUGAAGUUGCAUUUUCUUUUGAUGCAGCCAAAGGCCUCUAAGAGCCAGAGGGUGCAGCUGAGACUCAGGUAGGACUGGCCUGCUGGUCCUGAGGGUCCAGGCAAAGGGACUGUGGCCCUCUGUGCCCGUUCGCCACCUGCUUUCCCAGGACGUGAGCGGGGAUCUGGUUAUGGUGGCUGCCAUCAUUUUCCGCACCAGCACCCCCCCGACACACACUUGCACUGUGGCGUCCUUGGUAAUGAGGGUGAGGUGAACCUUGCUUUUUUCUCCACUUUACUAGUUAAACACAGAUUAUGUGUGACCUCUGGCUACUUACUUGCCAUCUCUGCAUCCGUUUCGUUAUUUGCACAAUGAGGUACUAACGAUAGUUAUCUCCAAAAAAAAUGCAGAAAUACAGGAGCUCAGACAUGAAGCAACUAGAACCAUGUUAGACAGCCUGUGAGUACUCAGACUUUAGCCGGUGCUCGUCCUACCAUGCUGCAUGCAGAAGAAAAUGAAAAGCAGGUCACAUUUCAAUUAAGUCUUAUUUGCAUUUAAGUUUCACGCCUACAUUCAGCAUUCUGUCGAUGCAGAUUAAAGAUGCUGAAGAUAAGGGAAAAUUUCCAGCAUAUGCUGCAAGCAACGUGGAGCUAAGAGAAAAGAUGAGAUUCACAAUUACGAACCCGUUCUAGCCAAAACUGUGAGAUAAGAGGACAUCCAAAUACGUAGUAACUGUACACAAUAAAAUAAUAACAACACACGGCCGGGCGCGGUGG